GGAGCAGCAAGUAGCGCCGCUUCAACCCCGCCAUCGUCGCCCCGGUGGAUGGAUGCCUUGUUGUGUGCGCCUGCGCGGGGGCAAGUGGGCGGAGCCUUUGGGAAAGGAGGCGUGGCUUAGAGAAUCCAGGGAUUCAUAGUUCGGUGAGGAGCCGUCACUCUUGGGCAGAAAAAAGGCCAAAGACCUUGUGAAGCUACAGAUCCCAGGAUUCCUCAGGAUGGAGCUGUGGCACUGAAAAGCGGCGUCAAACUACACUCAACCCCCAUAUUUGCAGCUGUGAUUCAGUAUUUUUCCUUGGAUGUCACAGUCUUCUUGAAAGAUGGAGCGAAGUGAAACACACAGUACUAAAACAGCAAGGAUCCAUCGUGGUGCUGUGGGAGAACUAAAAAAAGGCUGGCAGAGCUGGUCAGAGGAUCACGUUGAUUAUCAGAAACGGAACCCCUUCAGCAGCAACAGGCCAGUAGUGCUACGUACUGAGAGAGGUGAUCCCACUUAUGGGAGGCCUCCAGAAGGAUCCAAAACAGAACAGAGGGGGAAAGAUGCCCACACACACGUAGGCAAGGAAGUGGAAGAAUUAUGCUUGGUCAUAAGCAGUGUUGGGGAGAGAGGACGAGAUGGAUAUGUGAGAAUAACAUUUAAGCACCUCUUCGACAGAUAUGUGACUAUAUCCAAUAAAGUUGUAGGUGUUCUCUUGAGAGCAAGAAAGCAUGGGCUAGUUGACUUUGAAGGUGAAAUGCUUUGGCAAGGAAGAGAUGAUGAUGUGGUUAUUACCUUACUUGAAUGAGUUGGAUAAACCUUACUGCAUGAUACUCUGGGGAACACUUUAGGGACUUUAAAUGGCAACCAUGUUGGCUGGUCAGGAUGUGGUGAGGAAAAUGCUAACCAGAGGAAACAUGUUUAAAGGAGGUACAUGGCUGCUAUUUUAUGCCUUUGCACCCCUGAUUUCUCCAGUGUCUCUUUAGUUUAUUUCUAUGUAUUUAAAAGGAUAAGAGCAUUUUACAAAACUACAGAAUGGUAUUUAUCUCCUAACCUCUGUGUGCGUGUGUGAGAGAGAACUGGAAUUGCAUGCUGAAAACAGGAAAAUAUGAUUAACAGCUGGGGCUGUGAUGGAAAUAUGCAUUUUAAAUAAAUAAAAGUAAUGUAAGCAUA